rnacentral:rRNA from 1 species
UACGUAGGGUGCGAGCGUUGUCCGGAAUUAUUGGGCGUAAAGAGCUCGUAGGCGGUGUGUCGCGUCGAUCGUGAAAACUUUCAGCUUAACUGGGAGCUUGCGGUCGAUACGGGCAUCACUGGAGUUCGGCAGGGGAGACUGGAAUUCAAGGUGUAGCGGUGAAAUGCGCAGAUAUCUUGAGGAACACCGGUGGCGAAGGCGGGUCUCUGGGCCGAUACUGACGCUGAGGAGCGAAAGCCAGGGGAGCGAACGGG